AACGAACGCUGUCGGCAGGCUUAACACAUGCAAGUCGAGCGCCCCGCAAGGGGAGCGGCAGACGGGUGAGUAACGCGUGGGAAUCUACCCAUCACUACGGAACAACUCCGGGAAACUGGAGCUAAUACCGUAUACGUCCUUCGGGAGAAAGAUUUAUCGGUGAUGGAUGAGCCCGCGUUGGAUUAGCUAGUUGGUGGGGUAAUGGCCUACCAAGGCGACGAUCCAUAGCUGGUCUGAGAGGAUGAUCAGCCACACUGGGACUGAGACACGGCCCAGACUCCUACGGGAGGCAGCAGUGGGGAAUAUUGGACAAUGGGCGAAAGCCUGAUCCAGCCAUGCCGCGUGAGUGAUGACGGCCCUAGGGUUGUAAAGCUCUUUCGCAGGUGAAGAUAAUGACGGUAACCUGAGAAGAAGCCCCGGCUAACUUCGUGCCAGCCGCCGCUGUAACAC
rnacentral:rRNA from 1 species